rnacentral:lncRNA from 1 species
UUCUAUUAUCAUGCUACUAUGGCCACAAACUUAAGGACUCAGCUUCUUAGGUCUUAUGGGACUACUCCUCAAGUACUAAGAUUGAUAGAUCCCUUAUAAGUGCACACCUACUCCUACAGUGAAUCUACUAUAAUCAAUGAAUACUAUAAGGCUCCAAAUGGCUAGGAACUAUGUUUAUUUAUUAUCAUACUACAGCAAACCCACUG